rnacentral:sRNA from 1 species
UAUUUGUUAGAGAAGCUGUAUCCUAGUCGCAAAAACUUUAAUGAAAACGAUUAAUGGCGUUGAAGGGCAUAUCGGUGAAGUUUCUGGUGUUUGCUUUGGUUGCCCAAACUGGGGCAGAUGCUGGAAGUUAAGAUUUUUGGGCGCAUUAUAACGGCAUAUAAUACCCGACCCAAUUAUCGUGGAGACCUGAAAGGUGGAAUUUUUGAAAUGUUACUACUAAUCGGGAUUAAACCUGCUAUGUGGCGAACAAAAAGCUAUGUACAGAGUAGCCUGUUUUGAGUGAAUAAUGCGGAUGGUACAUAAUUAUUUGAAACAUUAUUUGCAAAAAAGACUAGUUAAACAAUUUUUGUGUUAAGGAAAUCUUCUAGGCAGAAUAUCUUUUGGGGAUUAUAGUGUAAUCUAAGUGGCAAUUCGGUACUUUUAAGCGCUAAACCUAAGCAGAAAUGACACAUUCGGCGACGGUGUGUGUUUAGUGGGGAAAUCCAACCGAACCUAAGUUGCAAGGUUUACUCAAAAGAUUUUCUCUAACUUUUUUU